rnacentral:rRNA from 1 species
AUGUGCCUGUUCCUCCGCCUCACCGGGACCACGGCGAACUAUGCCAUCAUCGAUGCAACUCGGACGGAGAGGAAUGUUGUGCUCCACGUCGUCGAUCUCGGCGGCGCUGAUCCUGACCAGUGGCUUCUGCUGCUCCGCCUCUUUGCCAAGCGUCCGGGGGGCGCACACGAGCAAAUCCUCCGUCUGACCAUUGUCAACUAGGAGGACGAGUUCCUGUCCGUCACCGGUGCACUCCUCGCCCGGGAAGCCGAGAGCCUGCACAUCGGCUUCCAUUUCCACCCAGUGAAACUCCAAAUCAACCAGCUGCUCAGUAUCGAGCCCCUCGGUGUCAGGAGCGGCAAAACACUGGUCAUCGUCUCCACCCUACAACUCCACCGUCUGCUCGCCGACGAGUUUGUAGAAGUGGCUGCUCGCCCUCAUGACAGGAAAGGAAAAGCGCAGGCGCAUGCUACCAUGACGAGGGCCGACGCGCUCCUGCGCGACCUAGCGAAGCUAUCGCCAAAGCUCAUGGUGGGGACGGAGCCGGAGGUCAACCACAACGGCGAGUUCACGGCCCGGUUUGAGAACGCGCUCAACUACUACGGGGCCCUGUUUGAUGCCCUGGAGGAGAGCGUACCUACACGCGGGUCGGCGCUGGAGCGGGCGGACGUGGAACGGUGCCUGCUCCUGCAAGAGAUCAGGGACAUCGUUCCCUAUGAUGGCGCGCAGCGCCGGGAGCGCCACGAGCGGAUGGGAAAGUGGGCGGGACGGAUGAAGGCCGCCGGAUUCACGGCUGCGGCGAUGAGCGCAGAAGCAGUGGCGCAAACGGUGAUGCUGGGGCAGAUGGUGGCCGGCUGCAGCAGGGCAUACAGGGUUUCGAGUGAGAAGGAUGUGUGCUUCUUCAUCCACUGGCGCGACAUCCCGAUGUUCUCUGUCUCGACCUGGCGUGCGGUGUGA